UUUAUUUCUAGUUGCACUUAAAAGAUAUCCGAUUUAAGAAAUCUUUUAGAUAUCUGCUUGAUUUCUGCUGCCAAUCUGCUGUCAGAUUAUGUCAGCAGAUCCUGCUCGGUUUCUGCUACCAAUUUGCUGGCAUAGCAUGUUAGCAGGCUCUGUUUGAUUUCUGCUGCCAAUCUGUCGUCAGGGUUGUCAGCAAAUCCUGCUCGGUUUCUGCAAUCAAUCUACUGGCAUGCCAUGCCAGCAGGCUUUGUCGACAAAUCCUGAGCUUAAUGCGGACACAGAAUGCUAUGGAUCUGCAAUGGGUAUCUGAUUGAAUUUGCUGCCAAUCUGCUCGCAAUCUGCUAGCAUUUUGCUAUUAGGGUAGUUAUUAUACUUAGUUUACAAGUUUGGCUUAAUAUAUAAUUUACUCUAUUAUUUCUGUUAUAAUAAUGGUGGAAGGGGGAAAGAAAUUGUAAAAGAAAUCGGUAGGUACGGCGAAAGGGUCAUAGUAAAGGGGAGUGAAGACUGGGAUGGGAUCUGAGGGAGCAAGUGCGGGAAGGAUAUCUAAUAGAAUUUCCGGAUCUAGGGCGUCCGGGUUGAUUGCGAAAUCGCGGUAAUUUUGUAAUAAGGGGUCUAUUUUCAACGGAAACUGUUCUAAGAGUUCAAUUAAUGAUGUUUGCGUCCCGUCGUGGUGAUAAAAGCGGGGCCGGGGUGGGACUAGUUCAAAUUCUUCUAUAAGCUCUAUGGAGUGUGUUGGAGAAGGUGGGGGUGGAAUUUCUUCAGGUUCGGGGGGAGCUAAUAGGGGAAUAAAUAGGAAAAACAGGAGGUGGGGUGGUUAGAGGAGAUGAGGAUCGAGGAACACUGAGUUCUUCGAGAGGGGUGGUAGGAGAGGAGAGUCGAGGAACACAAGGUUCUUCGAGAGGGGUGAUAGGAGAGGAGAGUCGAGGAACACAAAGUUCUUCGAGAGGGGUGAUAGGAGAGGAGAGUCGAGGAACACAAGGUUCUUCGAGAGGGGUAAUAGGAGAGGAGAGUCGAGGAACACAAGGUUCUUCGAGAGGGGUGGUAGGAGAGGAGAGUUGCGACUCGAGGAGCUGUUGAUAGACGCGGUUCAAUUCCUCCCGUGCCCGCCGAUUCUGUCUCUGACGCCAACGUCUGGCUGCCCAGUGUUUCCGUUUUGGGCGGAUAGGUCUGUUAUUCACUACGAAGUGAAUAAAAUGAUAAGCAACAACGAAAGGGAAGUGACUCGAUUAUGAAUUAAGUAGAUGACUUACUACUUGCUGGGGUAUUUCCUCUGGCGUAAUCCGGAAUGCCGGUCUCAGGGUACUCAGGCGGUUGUCGGUUGCCCGGAACAAGUCAGUCCGUCAGGGCUGGUGGAACUGGUGAGUGAUAGGCCUUACUGGAGUACACAAGUGCACUCACUUCACUUGCGGAACGUUUUUGUUUGGCACUUAGUUUUGUCCCGACUCACACUCAAGCAAUCGCGAAAAAUCUUGGUUCAAAGUUUUACGUGAAUUAUUGGUGAACUCGCGACGAAAAUUCUCGGACUCGCACUCAAUCAAAAGUAAAAAGCGGAAAAAGCUCCUCGCGGUCUUUGGGAUCGCGAUUUUAUACUCAAUUUUCCGAAGGGAAGGGUUGAGGUGUAGGCGGUGGCAUUCUUGGAUUGGUGGGCCCUUUCAAAACCACCAAAUUUGGAGCUUGUCUAUUGGGAACUCGCGAAAUUAUUAUUUUGUAGAGAUGAUCAGCUAUUGGCUCAUCUCUUCUCGUCUCCGCCCGAUUUGGUUUUGGUUUUGAGUGUAGGAGAGGGAUGUUUAUAAUUUUUGCUCCUCUUAUCUUUAGGUCACUUAAACAAACUAGCAAGCAAAAAAAAAAGGGUCUUUAUGUCUUCUGUAGAAUUUUAGUGAAAACAUACUUUUAUUGAUUGAGCGCGGACAGCGUUUUGCUGUGAAUAAUAAAUUUUUAUAGCUUCCGGAGGUUCUUUGUUUGAAGAUUUUAAUUUUUAUUGAGUUUCAAUAUUUCCCUUUUCCUUUGCUUAGCGUCGGGUACCGAUCCAGGGCAUUGUCAGAGUAACGUUCGGUAAUAAAGUUAUUAUUUAUUCUUUUUUUAUUCUAGACUCGACAUUGCCCCAGACUUCCCGAAAGAAUUAAAUUAUAUCUAACGGUCGUUCUCAAAAUAGUUUACAGAUGAGGAACUAUGCAUUUGUUUGAUGUAUUUAUUAUUCCUCAAAAAAAAAAAAAAAAAAAAAAUUUAAAUUGUCGCUAUAACUCACGAACUUGUGCGUGACGAUAGAGCGAUCCUCUGCAAACAUUUCUUGCUCUCGGCGACCGUUAGAAUACGAUUUCUCUUACUUAAUUAUUAUCUUUACAAGGACAACGAGAAAAAAAACGUUAAGUCCACCGGACGUAACAUUAUAAUAAACUUCGUUUUAUUAAGAAAAAUUUUUUCAUAUGCCAUAGAUUAUAUUGACUUUCCAAGAAUUGAACUUUUUUUAUAUAAAAAAAUAAUAACAAACCGAUCAUUUCCAAGCCAGUUAUAUAUAUUGUAUCCAAAGAUUUAAAAUUUCCAUCCCUUUAUAAUUGUGAUUAAUUCGAAUACAUACAUAAUUAUCCGUUUACACGACACAUUGUAAAUAGAUAUUUUCUUGUUAUUUGACAUAGAUAAUUUGACUUCUCAAAUAUUGGACGGUUUUAUAAAAGUAACGACUGUUUCAAGUCCAAACAACCAGUAACUUCCACGAUUUGUCCAAAAUCAUGAUAUUUCAUCUUUGCACAAUUUUUUAUAAUUAGCGACUACAUUAUUAACAUGAAUUUAUUAUAAGCAACCGAAUUAGUAUCAUAAUGGUCUGAUGACAGACCAAAACGUAUAUUGAAAUUUAAUGUUCAUAAAAUAUAGUUGUACACGUAGAUCUUGUAUUGCUCUAUCGCCUGUCUUUUUAGUAUUUAAUUGUAAAUUAAAAAAUUUUGGUUAAAGAAAAAAAUUUUUUUAAUGAUUUGGCCUUCAAAUGUGUAAAUAAGAGAAAUAUUAUUUUACGUAAAUUUUGCUCUCCUAAAUGCAAUAAAAUUUUUUAAUAAAAUAAAAAAUACCAAAAAAACAAACAAAAAUUAGAACCAACGUCUCAUCGCAUCCUCGUUGUUUCAAGUUUCAAUAGAGAACAAAAUUAAAAGGUUAAUAAAAGAUUAAAUCAUUUUAGUCUCUUUGUGUGUUAUGGCAUAAUAAAAAAAUGUAAUAAACGAUUAAAUUUGUUUAAUUGUUUUGUAGCAUUGUAAAAUAACAGUAUUGUAAACUAAUACAUGUAAAAUAAUAAAAUUAAACAUACAGAAACAGCAUCUUUAUUCCUCUCUUCAAUUCUUUUUACUAAACACGCCUUCCAUUUUAAUUAAUGCAUUUUUUUUAUAAUUCUUCAUUCAAUUUUAUGUAAUUUAUCCAAGUUCUAUACAUAAAUAAAAUAUAUCUCAUCUCUACUUUUCUUUUCCUCAAAAAAGCUUACAUGAAUGCGCUCUGUGGUUUUCUAUCUCAUUUGAAUUUUUUAUAAAUACAUGUUCUUGCUCAAUUUUGAAGGUAUUCUUUAACGUCACAAAUUUUUAAAUAAUUUUAUCGUAUCCAGGUCAAAUGACCGAUAAAAGUCUAACUAAAUUAUAAAAAAUACAAUAUAUUAUAAAUAUAAAAUUUAAAAUUUAAAAAGUAACUAAAAUGUAACGUUACAGUUACAAAAAAAGGAAAGUAACGCCGUUACCAGUUUUUUUAAAAAAAGUAACUGUAACUAUAACAUCGUUACAAGUAACAUGAUAGAAUCAACAAGUAAUACGUUACUUCUCAAAUGUGGGUGAAGUUGGGUCCUCAGCUUCCUGCACCACAGGUACGCGAGUUCUGUUUACACUCACAAUAGUUCUACAGUUCUUGAUAGUUCUUAGCAAUAGUUCCGCCAAAA